rnacentral:ncRNA from 1 species
UUAAAGUUUAAUUUUUACUUAAAGAUUUAUUUUUAGUUUAUUUUACAUGUAAUUUUUUGAAYGAAAAAAUAUAAAUUUUAAAAAUUUUAUAAUAAUUAUAUUCGCAGUAAUUAAUUUUAAUAAAUAAAAGAAAUUUUGAAUUAGUAAAUUAAAUAGUAUUAGUAAUAAUUGUGCCAGCAACUGCGGUUAUACAAUAAAUACAAAUAAAUUUUAUUUUAAAAAGUCAAUAGUAAGUUUAAUAAAAAUUAAAAUUAAAUUUUUUAGGUUAAAUUUUAAAUUUAAAAAUUAUUUUUAUAAAAAUUAUAUGAAGCUUAAAAAUUUAUAAUAAAAACUAGGAUUAGAUACCCUAUUAUUAAAAAUGUAAAAUUAUCAUUAAAGAGUAGUAAUAGUUAUAUUCUUAAAACUUAAUAAAUUUGGCGGUAUUUUAAUCUAUUCAGAGGAACUUGUUUUAUAAUUGAUAAUCCUCAUUUUAUCUUACUUAAUUUUGUAUAAUUUGUAUAUCGUCGUCAUAAGAAUUUCUUAAAAAAGAAAAAAUUUUCUUAAUUAUUAAUUAAUAAAAAUGUCAGAUCAUGGUGCAGUUUAUAGUUAAGAAAAAAUGAGUUACAAUAAAUUUAUUUAUUAUGAAAUUAAAAUUUAAAUAUUUUAAGGAAAGAGGAUUUGAUAGUAAAAUAUAUUAUAGAGUAUAUUUGAUUUUAGUUCUAAAAUAUGCACAUAUCGCCCGUCGCUCUCGUUACUUAAAAUGAGAUAAGUCGUAACAUAGUAGAAGUACUGGAAAGUGUUUCUAGAUUUCA